UCCACUGAACCAUAUCAUUUAGAGGAAGGAGAAGUCGUAACAAGGUUUCCGUAGGUGAACCUGCGGAAGGAUCAUUGUCGAUGCCUAAACAUCAAACGACCUGAGAACGCGUUCACAAACAUACUGUCUGCGUCGGGGCCAGGGGGAAGCGUGCCAUUUGUGCGCCCCCUCCAUGUCCUCGACGCGUCUAAACAAAACCCCGGCGCAGGUCGCGCCAAGGAACUUGAAAUGAAUUUGCCCGCCCCUUGCCCCGGCCUCGGUGCGCGAGGGGCGGAACAUUCUUGUCGUAUUACUCACAACGACUCUCGGCAACGGAUAUCUCGGCUCUCGCAUCGAUGAAGAACGUAGCGAAAUGCGAUACUUGGUGUGAAUUGCAGGAUCCCGUGAACCACCGAGUCUUUGAACGCAAGUUGCGCCCGGAGCCUUCUGGCCGAGGGCACGUCUGCUUGGGCGUCACGCAUCGUUGCCCCCCCACCAACACCCCAUGCGGGCUCGUGCUGUGGGUUGGGGCACAUACUGGCCUCCCGUGCACACCGUUGUGCGGAUGGCUUAAAUUCGAGUCCUCGGUGCACGUCGCCGCGACACUACGGUGGUUGACCCAACCUCAGUACCAGGUCGUGGCCUCGGCGCUCCUCUUGGACUCAUGCACCGACCCUUCGAACGGCGUCCCCCAAAGGAUGACGUUCUCGACGCGACCCCAGGUCAGGCGGGACUACCCGCUGAGUUUAAGCAUAUCAAUAAGCGGAGG
rnacentral:rRNA from 1 species